GCCCCCAUCGUCUAGUGGUUAGGACAUCGGUCUUUCAAGCCGGUAGUCGGGGUUCGAAUCCCCGUGGGGGCG
rnacentral:tRNA from 1 species